rnacentral:rRNA from 1 species
UACGGAGGAGGCAAGCGUUAUCCGGAAUUAUUGGGCGUAAAGCGUCCGUAGGUGGUUAUUCAAGUCAGUUGUUAAAGCGUGGGGCUUAACUCGGAAAGGUCAACUGAUACUGUGCGACUAGAGUGCAGAAGGGGCAACUGGAAUUCUCGGUGUAGCGGUGAAAUGCGUAGAUAUCGAGAGGAACACCUGCGGCGAAGGCGGGUUGCUGGGCUGACACUGACGCUGAUGCGCGAAAGCCAGGGGAGCGAACGGG